rnacentral:rRNA from 1 species
GCGCAGCAGUCGAGAAUUUUCUCAAUGGGGAAACCCUGAAGGAGCGACGCCGCGUGGAGGAUGAAGGUCUUCGGAUUGUAAACUCCUGUCAUUUGGGAACAAGUUGCAUCGGUUAACUGCCGGUGCAUUGAUAGUACCAGAAGAGGAAGAGACGGCUAACUCUGUGCCAGCAGCCGCGGUAAUACAGAGGUCUCAAGCGUUGUUCGGAUUCAUUGGGCGUAAAGGGUGCGUAGGUGGCGCCGUAAGUCAGGUGUGAAAUCUCGGGGCUCAACCCCGAACUAGCACUUGUAUACUGCGGUGCUCGAGUACUGGAGGAGGAGGAUUGGUAAGUUUAACGGUUGGUA